UCUCCGUAGGUGAACCAGCGGAAGGAUCAUUCAUAAGAAGUGUUUUGUGGCACUUUUUUGAAUCCAUAUCCACCUUGUGCGCAAUGUGAGGGUGGAUUUUUCUCUCUAGAGUGUCAGCCCCAACCAUCAACUAUAUCUCACCUCUUUGUCUGAAAAAUAUUAUGAAUAAAACAAUUCAACUUAAAACUUUCAACAACGGAUCUCUUGGCUCUA
rnacentral:misc_RNA from 1 species